rnacentral:rRNA from 1 species
ACCUCUGCAAUAGGCGAAAGCCUGACAGGGUUACUCUGAGUGACUUUCGCUAAGAAAGUCUUUUGACACCUCUAAAAAUGGUGUAGAAUAAGGGGUGGGCAAGUCUGGUGUCAGCCGCCGCGGUAAUACCAGCACCCCGAGUGGUCGGGACGAUUAUUGGGCCUAAAGCAUCCGUAGCCGGUUUUACAAGUCCUCCGUUAAAUCCAACUGCUUAACAGAUGGGCCGCGGAGGAUACUAUAAGACUAGGAGGCAGGAGAGGCAAGCGGUACUCAGUGGGUAGGGGUAAAAUCCGUUGAUCCAUUGAAGACCACCAGUGGCGAAGGCGGCUUGCCAGAAUGCGCUCGACGGUGAGGGAUGAAAGCUGGGGGAGCAAACCGGAUUAGAUACCCGGGUAGUCCCAGCUGUAAACGAUGCAGACUCGGUGAUGGACUAGCUUAAUGCUAGUCCAGUGCCGCAGGGAAGCCGUUAAGUCUGCCGCCUGGGUAGUACGGUCGCAAGACUGAAACUUAA